GGAAAUGCGGCUCAAGGGUAGAGUGCUUGCCUAGCAUGCAUGAAACCCUAGGUUCGAUUCCUCAGUACCA
rnacentral:tRNA from 1 species